AGGAAACAACAACAAAAAAAAAAAACGGGGGUGGAGUUCGUUUGAGUUUCAUUUCUGUCAACAUGACGAUGAAGUUCACAGAACACUACGAGGGAAGCCAGCAGGAACAGAAGUGAAAGUCCCAAAGGCUUUCUCCGUUCUACAACAAUGUCAGGUCAUGUGUGGUUUCAAAAGAGCUACCUGAAAACAGGGAAGCACCAGCGACCUUUGGACACAUUGGAACCUAAGAGAAAAGGACAUAAACAGAACCUUUUCCUGAGGUGAAGGCUCCAGGUUAUUUUCUCUGCCUUAAGGAAGUAAGAAGAACUUGAAACUCAGAGAUUACAGUAAUUUAUCCAAGGUGAAGAACUGACAGGUGUAAACUGACAUCAUAAAACUGGGAAAAAUGGAAGUUUUCUUCGUGAGACAUUCUAGAAUACUGGCCAAGACCAUUUCACCUUAAUGUGGCUGGGGAUGCUGCACAUAUUUACUGUCUUCCCCCAGAGCUUUCCCGCCAUCUGUCACCAGAUCCUGAAGCCCAUAAGUAAGCUGCUCCGAGAACAUCUAUACAGCCCCUUACCAAGUGUCUGAAGGUGGGGAACUAGAACUGAAAUGAGGGGAAGUCUGGAAAUCGGAUUCUCCUUUCCCCGGUGUGCAUGAUUCACGUGGAGUGAGCAUUUACAGCUGUUGUCUGCAUGAGCAGAGACAGAUGAAAAUUAAAGAAAGUAGAGAAGAGAGUAAAGAAAUAAAGAAAUAAAAAGACAAUAUUCAAGGCAUGCACCACCAUACCUGGCCCAGCACAGAGUCUUAAAAUACAGAAGUGUUUUUGCUAUCUUGCUGUUCUCUUAGGUGGAGGAGGACACAUGUGUUGGUGAGUUAAGAGGGGCAACAUGAGCAGGAAUGAGGUAAAUCCAAUCAUUUUAGGCCUUGUUAGAAUAAAUAGUAUAGGUCUGAAGAUCCCUUGGUUCUGUGAGAACGGUAAAAGGUCUCGGCUGAGUGGUUGCCAUGGUCUUAGCCCUCCCGGACACAGAAGGACAAUAAAGACUUAAUUCCAAGAAAUAGAAAGUCAAACUAGCAAAGCCACUGAAAGAAAACAACUCAGGCUAAUUUUCACAGAAUCUGUUAGUUAACUGCCUUUUAUGGCUCUUCCAAAUAUCACGCUCUAUGGGACAGAGAACCCUGAGGCAUUUUUUUUCCCAAUAGAGUUCAGACAUCAGAAACCUCUCCAAAGUGAGGACAAGCGUGAUCACGAAGCUCUCUCUUGCUGGUGUGGUGGGCGUGACUUUUAGAAGGGAGACACCAAAAUACUUCACCUGGAAAAUGUCAUAAUAUGAGGACUUAUAUUUAGACCUUAACUUUGCUAAUAAAUUUCUUUUCUGAUUUCUCCUGCCCUCUUUUCAACUUCAAAAGUCACAGGGGCAUAGAGCAAAAAUCACUGCACCAUAAUAUAAAGGAGGUAGCCCUGGGCACAGCACUGCUGCUUCUAAACUCUGGGUCCUUGGACAAGCCAUCUCUGCUCCCAGAGCCUCAGACCUCUACUUGCUUUCCUGCUACUUCAAACAGCGGUAGUGAGAGCCAAAUUCGAUGUAUGUGAAGACGUUUCGCCACUUAUGUAUGCCCUAUGUGGACACAAAGCAUGAUUAUUAAUAUAACACUGACCAACUAAAAGGGUCCAGACAUCAUUUUCUCAUUCAAAGGACUGAGGAGUAGAGAGUAAAAGAAAUCACAGUGCAUUUCUGAAUGCACUUUUGAAGUUGUGGGAGGCAAACUGAACUAAAAAGAGUAGACUCUGGGAACAGCCAGACAUGAAUCCAAACACUACCACUUUGCAGAUCUCGUAUCUGCUCUGUGCUCUAUGAUGUUAUCUGUAAAGGGAAGAAUCUCUUUGCAAAAUGCCUGAUGAAGAGUAUGGACACAAUAAAUAACUUACACCUCUAAAGUUCUUCACAAAAAAAACAGAGAUAGAAGACACUCCUUAGCCAUAAGGGCCAAAGUUGUAAUAGGAGCACAUUUCAAGUCUCUUGAUACAGGUCAGGAAAUUGAAGCAGUUCCACAAGAUAAAUUUUAUCCAAUUUCAUGAAAUUCUGCAUAUUUUGCAAGAAUCCAACUCUGCUAUCUAUAAGAUUGGUGUUUAAAAUAUCCUGCAGCUUGUAAAAGACAGACUGGAAAAACGUUGUCUUGGGCAGAGAUGAUCAUUCAAGCUAAGCAGGAAGGUUGUUUCAGAGAGGAAAAAUUGUGUGAGUAUUUGGUUCAUUGAUAAAUAGUUUCAAGUAAUGACAAACUUUUCCUCUCUGUAUAACCAUGGAAUAUAUUUCUUCAUGUUUAAUCAUGGCGUAAAGGAAUUUGGGUAAUAAAAACUGGAUAUGAAGGAAAUCUGAUAA